GCUUCCAGUGGAACUUCACAUAGGUUGAUUUCCCAGCCUUGUUGAUCAAUGUGAAUGUGUGGACACCAGAACCGUCCAUAUGCCUGUAAUCUUGUGGAAUACCAAUAUCGUCGAAGAGGAAAGUGAACAUGUGCAGGCUUUCAGGAACAUGAGAGAAAAAAUCAAGGACCCUCCAAUUCUCCUGGAUAUGGGAUUUAGGAUUUGGCUUCAGCGCGUGGACCAUGUCAGGGAACUUCAUUCCAUCACGGAUGAAGAAGACGGGGAAGUUGUUCCCUACCAGAUCAAAGUUUCCCUGAGGCAGAGGAGGCAUAUCAGAAUUCAGGCAGAAGAUAAGGAUUAACUUCAAAUACAAUCAACAAAUCCCAAACAUAAUGCAGGCAUGUUUAAAAAACUAAAUACGAGAUCAUUUCUCGAUGAGAGUAUGAAAAAUUAGGCAGCAUAAUAGUGACUGCAAGGUAUUGAAUAUCACAGGGCGCUAUGGUCUCUACUACGGUGUUAAGCAACAUGAACAAUCACUAUCAUAUUACAUAACCUGAUAGAAGCAAAUAAGUAGACCCAUAUGCAGGGUAUUUAAAAAUAGGUCCCUAAGACAUGCAGAUACAAACAUUAAAUGAAGUCCAUAUCGUGUUUAAGCUGCAAAAUAACAUCCUCUACUAAGCAGUCCAGGCAACACUUAAUUAAGGAGGAACAUAUUUGUAAGUCGUGUGCAAAUAAGGAAAGUGAUAAAUAUAAUCCAGUCUGUAUAUGGAAAUUGAAGAUAUAAUGCUGAAUGAAUGAACUAGUAUUUGUAACUUGUCAAAUUAAAUGUUGCAAUUCGCGUACCUCUCUGGUGUAGAACUUGACAGCAAAACCACGAGGGUCCCUCAGAGUUUCAGGACUACCCCUCUCAUGUAUAACAGUGGAGAAUCUCACAAUGACAGGAGUCUGGACACCGGGAGCUCGAAGGAAAUCAGCACAGGUAAGGUGAGUGAUGUCAUGGGUAACUUCGAAAAACCCUUUGGCACUAGCACCUCGGGCAUGAACAACACGUUCAGGGACACGUUCCCUGUCAAAAUUGGCAAGUUU
rnacentral:lncRNA from 1 species